UGAAAUGUAGAUUACAUCACGUUUUUUGUUGAGUCACAAUCACAGUGUAAACAUGUUGACAGCCGUGGAAUUAAAACUGUAGUGGUCCCAACUGGACAGUGAUCUUCUGUUUGUGUUUGCACAACGUCAGUAAAGAUUAUAAAGUCAAGAAGAGUCCAGUAUCCGUCAUCAUAGGUUGGAAGCAUAUUUCACCACCACCUCACUGAUGCUCGUUUGUAACCCCUGUGAAACAUAGGGCUACUAAAAGCUUAUAUGUCGUUUAGGAGAGUAGGUGCAUGUUGUUUUCUGUGGGAGCACAAUACACCCUGCACACCUGGUGUUGGUGACGCUAUCUACUGUCAUCCUACAUCAUCCCCGCACUUUGCCUCGUGACCUGAAACGUCUUGAGAACGUGCCGCAGAUCAGCUAAAUAAGUCUUGAAUCCUGACUGUGAACUUGAGGGAGGCCGCUUCUGUCGUUGAGUUGUUGGUGUUGAAAUCCCGAUAAAAUCUGUGAGGAAUCUGUGAUGGAGAGCCGAGCCUGUGAGAUUGUGGAUGAAUGUGGAAACGGUGAGGCCAACCGUAGGAUCAGUCCAUAGAGGACAUCGAGACCAGCUUGAUUAAUUCACACGGACUCCAGAUAAGGACACACGCACACUAUUAACUGCAGGACAUCCAACACACACAGCACACACACCUGCACAGGGACAAAGAAACUGAACUCUUGGUUUUCUGUCUCCAUAAUUUCAAAGAAGUAUUAGAGUUGAGGAUCUCAGCUUGAAGGGGACUGAUUAUUAAAAAAAUUUUGACAGAAAUUGUAAUGCAGUGUAAAUUGUAUUAUUGCUGUGGAGCAAUAAAUCUGUCAACUGUUAAACGUCAUUCUAACUCCUCUUGUGAGUUUUUAAAGGCAAACCGCUCCUCGAACCUAGGUAGAUGUUAGCAUCUCUGUUAUUUCUAUAGAUCAAGACUAGAGGUGCUACAGUAACAUAACAUAACUAAAUGUGGCAUGAGCAGUAAGUAAAUGUUGUGUAACAUUUACCUUGACUCCUCUGUCGUAUGUCUGUUUGUCUACUGUGUGUGUUUUUCAGGGAAACACUGAGGUACAGAACGUGUAUGUGGAUGUGUGUGUGUCAUGUUCAGUAGUACUCUCUGUACCAAAGUAUGUACAUCUGC